UACGUAGGUGGCGAGCGUUGUCCGGAUUUACUGGGCGUAAAGGGAGCGUAGGCGGACUUUUAAGUGAGAUGUGAAAUACCCGGGCUCAACUUGGGUGCUGCAUUUCAAACUGGAAGUCUAGAGUGCAGGAGAGGAGAAUGGAAUUCCUAGUGUAGCGGUGAAGUGCGUAGGGAUUAGGAAGAACACCAGUGGCGAAGGCGAUUCUCUGGACUGUAACUGACGCUGAGGCUCGAAAGCGUGGGGAGCAAACAGGAUUAGAUACCCUGGUA
rnacentral:rRNA from 1 species